CGCCGGCGAGAGCCGCGCAGCACAGGAGCCAUCUGCUCGGAGCUAUUGCUGUUCCCAUCUCUCCUUUGUUACCGCAGACACGUUAUUUAUAGGAAACCCCCAAUCAUUUGCCCUGGAAGCUGAGGACCUUCUUGAGCGGUGACUACACACC